AUGAUGUGGAUUAAUUCGAUGCAACGCGAAAACCUUACCUACCCUUGACAUGUCCGGAAUCCUGCAGAGAUGCGGGAGUGCCCGAAAGGGAAUCGGAACACAGGUGCUGCAUGGCUGUCGUCAGCUCGUGUCGUGAGAUGUUGGGUUAAGUCCCGCAACGAGCGCAACCCUUAUCAUUAGUUGCUACGCAAGGGCACUCUAAUGAGACUGCCGGUGACAAACCGGAGGAAGGUGGGGAUGACGUCAAGUCCUCAUGGCCCUUAUGGGUAGGGCUUCACACGUCAUACAAUGGUCGGUACAGAGGGUUGCCAAGCCGCGAGGUGGAGCCAAUCCCAGAAAGCCGAUCGUAGUCCGGAUUGUUCUCUGCAACUCGAGAGCAUGAAGUCGGAAUCGCUAGUAAUCGCGGAUCAGCAUGUCGCGGUGAAUACGUUCCCGGGUCUU
rnacentral:rRNA from 1 species